GGGCGGUUAGCUCAGUUGGCUAGAGCGCCACGUUGACAUCGUGGAGGCCACAAGCUCAAGUCUUGUACCGCCCACCU
rnacentral:tRNA from 1 species